rnacentral:rRNA from 1 species
GACGAACGCUGGCGGCGUGCUUAACACAUGCAAGUCGAACGAGAUCCAAUGUGUAGCACUCCACAGGAAGAUCUAGUGGCGAACGGGUGAGGAACACGUGAGAAACGUACCCCAGACUUUGGGAUAACAGUCCGAAAGGACUGCUAAUACCAAAUAACGUCGGAAGUCCGCAUGGACAUCUGACGAAAGGGAUUCCGGUUUGGGAGCGUCUCGCGGACCUAUCAGCUAGUUGGAGGGGUAACGGCCCACCAAGGCAACGACGGGUAGCUGGUCUGAGAGGAUGGUCAGCCACACUGGGACUGAGACACGGCCCAGACUCCUACGGGAGGCAGCAGUGGGGAAUCUUGCGCAAUGGGCGAAAGCCUGACGCAGCAACGCCGCGUGCGGGAAGAAGGCUUUCGGGCUGUAAACCGCUUUCAGUAGGAACGAAACUGACGGUACCUACAGAAGAAGGAGCGGCCAACUAUGUG